GCCAGUCGUGCACCUCACCUCGUUGUGUCUCUGAGCCAGCCUACGCCCGCCUCACCCCAUUGUCGCCGCGCUACGACAGGUUUCGUCCUGAGACGGGUCGCGUCGCACCUGCAAGCAGCCUCGCCAUGACGCGUCGUUAAGAGCUACCGUUACGCUGGCUUCCGAAGCGCCUUGGGCCACUGUGUCGGUCUACGAUCUGCCCGUGGACGAAAAUCAGUUUGCACCUUGUCCAUGUUCAUCCGGCAAAAUUACCAGGUGAUAUUUAUCCUAUCUAUUUUU
rnacentral:lncRNA from 1 species